rnacentral:rRNA from 1 species
AAAUUGAAGAGUUUGAUCAUGGCUCAGAUUGAACGCUGGCGGCAGGCCUAACACAUGCAAGUCGAGCGGUAGCACAGAGAGCUUGCUCUCGGGUGACGAGCGGCGGACGGGUGAGUAAUGUCUGGGAAACUGCCUGAUGGAGGGGGAUAACUACUGGAAACGGUAGCUAAUACCGCAUAAUGUCGCAAGACCAAAGUGGGGGACCUUCGGGCCUCAUGCCAUCAGAUGUGCCCAGAUGGGAUUAGCUAGUAGGUGGGGUAACGGCUCACCUAGGCGACGAUCCCUAGCUGGUCUGAGAGGAUGACCAGCCACACUGGAACUGAGACACGGUCCAGACUCCUACGGGAGGCAGCAGUGGGGAAUAUUGCACAAUGGGCGCAAGCCUGAUGCAGCCAUGCCGCGUGUGUGAAGAAGGCCUUCGGGUUGUAAAGCACUUUCAGCGGGGAGGAAGGCGAUAAGGUUAAUAACCUUGUCGAUUGACGUUACCCGCAGAAGAAGCACCGGCUAACUCCGUGCCAGCAGCCGCGGUAAUACGGAGGGUGCAAGCGUUAAUCGGAAUUACUGGGCGUAAAGCGCACGCAGGCGGUCUGUCAAGUCGGAUGUGAAAUCCCGGGCUUAACCUGGGAACUGCAUUCGAAACUGGCAGGCUAGAGUCUUGUAGAGGGGGGUAGAAUUCCAGGUGUAGCGGUGAAAUGCGUAGAGAUCUGGAGGAAUACCGGUGGCGAAGGCGGCCCCCUGGACAAAGACUGACGCUCAGGUGCGAAAGCGUGGGGAGCAAACAGGAUUAGAUACCCUGGUAGUCCACGCCGUAAACGAUGUCGAUUUGGAGGUUGUGCCCUUGAGGCGUGGCUUCCGGAGCUAACGCGUUAAAUCGACCGCCUGGGGAGUACGGCCGCAAGGUUAAAACUCAAAUGAAUUGACGGGGGCCCGCACAAGCGGUGGAGCAUGUGGUUUAAUUCGAUGCAACGCGAAGAACCUUACCUGGUCUUGACAUCCACAGAACUUUCCAGAGAUGGAUUGGUGCCUUCGGGAACUGUGAGACAGGUGCUGCAUGGCUGUCGUCAGCUCGUGUUGUGAAAUGUUGGGUUAAGUCCCGCAACGAGCGCAACCCUUAUCCUUUGUUGCCAGCGGUCCGGCCGGGAACUCAAAGGAGACUGCCAGUGAUAAACUGGAGGAAGGUGGGGAUGACGUCAAGUCAUCAUGGCCCUUACGACCAGGGCUACACACGUGCUACAAUGGCAUAUACAAAGAGAAGCGACCUCGCGAGAGCAAGCGGACCUCAUAAAGUAUGUCGUAGUCCGGAUUGGAGUCUGCAACUCGACUCCAUGAAGUCGGAAUCGCUAGUAAUCGUAGAUCAGAAUGCUACGGUGAAUACGUUCCCGGGCCUUGUACACACCGCCCGUCACACCAUGGGAGUGGGUUGCAAAAGAAGUAGGUAGCUUAACCUUCGGGAGGGCGCUUACCACUUUGUGAUUCAUGACUGGGGUGAAGUCGUAACAAGGUAACCGUAGGGGAACCUGCGGUUGGAUCACCUCCUUACCUUAAAGAA